GUAGGCAACCAGAGCAAAGCAGGACACGCCCGAUCUCGUCUGAUCUCCGAAGCAAAGCAGGUUUGGGCCUGGUUCGUGCUUGGAUGGGAGACUGCCUGGGAAUACCCGGUGCUGUAGGCU
ensembl:rRNA 5S_rRNA 5S ribosomal RNA